AUAGCUGAUGUUAGCAAUGAAGUGGUACCAAAAUAACAUAAAACUAUUAUUACACUGGAAGGAACUCUCAUGGACGACGUCUUACUUCUU